rnacentral:lncRNA from 1 species
CUGAAAACUCUCCAGCCCUAAAUGUUGCAAGAUGUUCAACCCAUGGAACUCCAGGAUUAGAAAGCAAUCAUGUUUCUGAUUUUCCACUUCUAGACAGUCCCAACCCCUGGCAGUCUUCCUCCCUGGCGGCUUCUCCCGCAGUUGCUACAAGAAGCUGCCCUCAUCAGAAGCCGGGAGAAACCCUUGGCUCUCAUUCAGGUCGAGGAGCAUGCAAUACAAGACUUGCUGGUUUUCUAUGAGGCAUUUGGCAACCCCGAGGAGUUUGUCGUCGUUGAAAGGGCACCACAGGGGCCUCUGGCAGUGCCUAUGUGGAACAAGCAUGGCUGCUAG